rfam:Tumebacillus algifaecis strain THMBR28 chromosome, complete genome.
GAGCCGGUAUCAUGAAAGUGAACUGUACUCCGUUUGCAACAUGUAGCUCAAGAAAUUUCAACUGAAUCUGCUCUGAGCCGAAUGCGGACCGAGACAGGACA